GGCUCGGUAGCUUAGUUGGAAAAGCACUUGUCUAGCGUAUAAGGGACGUGAGUUCAAAUCUCACCUGAGCUG
rfam:Aedes albopictus isolate Foshan contig82551, whole genome shotgun sequence.